CUGAAGACAGAUGUAGUAACUCACCCUACCCUUCCAGACCUACAAAGGAUGGGCUUGAACUUGGGCCCAGUCUCAGCCUUUGAGGCAGGAGCAGAGGGUAGACACAGAGGCAGUGCAGCCCCAGUUUGGUAGUAAUCCCUAGCAUAAAGAAAGACAGCUUGACCUGAGCAAGGUGAGUGGAGUUGUUUUGCUGAAAGUUACCA
rnacentral:lncRNA from 1 species